rnacentral:rRNA from 1 species
CCUACGGGAGGCAGCAGUGAGGAAUAUUGGUCAAUGGCCGGAAGGCUGAACCAGCCAAGCCGCGUGAGGGAGGAAGGCGCAGAGCGUCGCAGACCUCUUUUGCCGGGGGACAAAAGGCCGGACGGGUCCGGUUCUGAGUGUACCCGGAGAAAAAGCAUCGGCAAACCUCGUGCCAGCAGCCGCGGUAAUACGGGGGAUGCGAGCGUUAUCCGGAUUCAUUGGGUUAAAAGGGUGCGCAGGCGGGCCUUUAAGCUGACGGUGAAAUCGCGGGGCUCAACCCCGCCGAGCCGUCGGAACUGGGGGCCUUGAGUGCGGCGGAGGCAUGCGGAAUGCGCGGUGUAGCGGUGAAAUGCGUAGAUAUCGCGAAGAACACCGGUUGCGAAGGCAGCGUGCCGUGCCGCAACUGACGCUGAGGCACGAAAGCGCGGGGAUCGAACAGGAUUAGAUACCCCUGUAGUC